UGGGAAGAGGGCAGUGCUGCUGCAGUUCUGCAGCUGAGGAGGCAGGAAUGGAGCUCAGAAUGAGGCGAUGGGGAUGAGCAGAGAGCUGCGACGACUGAGAGCAGUUCAGCAGGAAGAGGAGGAAAGCAGGGAGUUAGCAAGGAGAGGGCAGUUCCCAGCGUAAUGAAAGGCAUUAAGUCUAAAACCACCAACGCUUUCCCAAACAUGAAAAUUGAAUACUGAGAGAGAAAAGAAAAAAAAAAAAAAAGGAAGAAAUGCAGAUGCAAUAAUGUAAGAAGCUAGCACACAUCACUGUCCUGGAAUCUGAGAAAACAAGCUUUUUAAAUACUUCUGACUGAAAGCAUUUAUGGCAGCGCAGCCCUGGGAUGUUAGAGGAAAGGACAUGAGCAGGAGCAUUGCAGGAUGGAGCCCUUCUGUCGGCAGGCACACAGCUGUGCAGGACAGGGGCGCAGUGACAGGCAGGAGCUGCCCAGGGGGGCAGUCGGUGCUCCCUGCUGCCCAGCACGCUGGUGAUGCUGCACGGCCACCUUCCCA
rnacentral:lncRNA from 1 species